UACGUAGGGGGCAAGCGUUGUCCGGAAUCAUUGGGCGUAAAGAGCGUGUAGGCGGCUCGAUAAGUCUGCUGUGAAAGUCCAGGGCUCAACCCUGGAAGGCCGGUGGAAACUGUCAGGCUAGAGUCCGGAAGAGGCGAGUGGAAUUCCCGGUGUAGCGGUGAAAUGCGCAGAUAUCGGGAGGAACACCAAUGGCGAAGGCAGCUCGCUGGGACGGUACUGACGCUGAGACGCGAAAGCGUGGGGAGCAAACAG
rnacentral:rRNA from 1 species